ACACAACAACAGAAACACACACCCAGCUAAGGAAAUUAAAAAGGGAAGUGUUUAUUGGAGACAAAGUCAUUUAUGAAAUGUGUGAACAGGCAAAUGUGUGUGCAUGUGUGUGGUGUGCAAAUUUAUAUUGUACGUGCAUCAUGUUUUUGAAAGCCCCAAAAAGUAUUUGCACACUUAAAUGUUGUUAACACUUUACAAUAAUGUUUAGUUUGUUAACAUUAGUAAAUGCAUUAAGUAUCAUGAACUAACAAUAAACAAUAUAUUUUUUACAGCAUUUAUAAAUCUUUGUUAAUGUUAGUUUAUAAAAUACAAUUGUUCAAUGUUAGUUCAUGUUAAUAGUGCAUUAACAAAUGUUUACAACUUUUAUUUUAAAAAUGUAAUAAAUGCUGUAAAGGUAUUGUUAAUUGUUAGUUCACGUUAGUUAAUUGUGCAUUAACAAAUGUUUACAAGUUUUAUUUAAAACAAAAAACAUAAUAAAUGCUGUAAAGGUAUUGUUCAAUGUUAGUUCAUGUUAAUAGUGCAUUAACAAAUGUUUACAACUUUUAUUUUAAAAACAUAAUAAAUGCUGUAAAGGUAUUGUUAAUUGUUAGUUAAUAGUGCAUUAACAAAUGUUUACAACUUUUAUUUUAAAAACGUAAUAAAUGCUGUAAAGGUAUUGUUAAUUGUUAGUUCACGUUAGUUAAUAGUGCAUUAACAAAUGUUUACAACUUUUAUUUUUUUAAAACGUAAUAAAUGCUGUAAAGGUAUUGUUAAUUGUUAAUUCAUGUUAGUUAAUAGUGCAUUAACAAAUGUUUACAACUUUUUUUU